CAGUAGCGAAUAUUUAUGUUGUUGCAGUUAAAAAGCUCGUAGUUGAAUUUCUGUCUUUGACUAUUCUGUUAUACCUAUGGUAUGAUAUGAGUAGGAGGAGUACAUCUGUUUGAUUUUGCGUAGAUGUAUGUAAGUAUGUUUACGAGUAACAGGAUCAACCAUUUACUGUGAAAAAAUUGGAGUGUUUAAAGCAGGCGAGUUUGCCAUUUGAACAUAUUAGCAUGGAAUAAUAAGAUAGGAUUUUUAUUCUUUUUUGUUGGUGUUGAAUGAAGAUAAUGAUUGAUAGGGACAGUUGGGGGUGCUCGUAUUUAGUGGUUAGAGGUGAAAUUCGUGACCCACUGAAGACGAACUUAUGCGAAAGCAUUCACCAAGGAUGUCUUCUUUAA
rnacentral:rRNA from 1 species